rnacentral:rRNA from 1 species
GUCUCAAAGAUUAAGCCAUGCRYGUCUAAGUAUAAGCAAUUAUACCGUGAAACUGCGAAUGGCUCAUUAAAUCAGUUAUCGUUUAUUUGAUAGUACCUUACUACUUGGAUAACCGUGGUAAUUCUAGAGCUAAUACAUGCUAAAAACCCCGACUUCGGAAGGGGUGUAUUUAUUAGAUAAAAAACCAAUGCCCUUCGGGGCUCUUUGGUGAUUCAUGAUAACUUCUCAGAUCGCAUGGCCUUGCGCCGGCGACGGUUCAUUCAAAUUUCUGCCCUAUCAACUUUCGAUGGUAAGGUAUUGGCUUACCAUGGUUUCAACGGGUAACGGGGAAUUAGGGUUCGAUUCCGGAGAGGGAGCCUGAGAAACGGCUACCACAUCCAAGGAAGGCAGCAGGCGCGCAAAUUACCCAAUCCCGACACGGGGAGGUAGUGACAAUAAAUACUGAUACAGGGCUCUUUUGGGUCUUGUAAUUGGAAUGAGUACAAUUUAAACCUCUUAACGAGGAACAAUUGGAGGGCAAGUCUGGUGCCAGCAGCCGCGGUAAUUCCAGCUCCAAUAGCGUAUAUUAAAGUUGUUGCAGUUAAAAAGCUCGUAGUUGAACCUUGGGCCUGGCUGGCAGGUCCGCCUCACCGCGUGUACUUGACCGGCCGGGCCUUCUCUUCUGGAGAACCUCAUGCCCUUUACUGGGCGUGUUGGGGACCAGGACUUUUACUUUGAAAAAAUUAGAGUGUUCAAAGCAGGCCUUUGCUCGAAUAUGUUAGCAUGGAAUAAUGGAAUAGGACGUGCGGUCCUAUUUUGUUGGUUUCUAGGACCGCCGUAAUGAUUAAUAGGGACAGUCGGGGGCAUCAGUAUUCAAUUGUCAGAGGUGAAAUUCUUGGAUUUAUUGAAGACUAACUACUGCGAAAGCAUUUGCCAAGGAUGUUUUCAUUAAUCAGUGAACGAAAGUUAGGGGAUCGAAGACGAUCAGAUACCGUCGUAGUCUUAACCAUAAACUAUGCCGACUAGGGAUCGGGCGAUGUUUCAAUAUUGACUCGCUCGGCACCUUACGAGAAAUCAAAGUGUUUGGGUUCUGGGGGGAGUAUGGUCGCAAGGCUGAWACUUAAAGGAU